rnacentral:rRNA from 1 species
GACGAACGCUGGCGGCGUGCUUAACACAUGCAAGUCGAACGGAAAGGCCCGCUUGCGGGUACUCGAGUGGCGAACGGGUGAGUAACACGUGGGCAACCUGCCCUCAGCUUCGGGAUAACACUUGGAAACAGGUGCUAAUACCGGAUAAUAACCUUUCAUCGCAUGGUGGUUGGUUCAAAGUUCUUCGGCUGAGGAUGGGCCCGCGGCCUAUCAGCUUGUUGGUGGGGUGAUGGCCUACCAAGGCGACGACGGGUAGCCGGCCUGAGAGGGCGACGGGCCAGACUGGGACUGGGACACGGCCCAGACUCCUACGGGAGGCAGCAGAGGGGAAUAUUGCGCAAUGGGCGGAAGCCUGGCGGAGCGACGCGGCGUGAGGGGUGACGGCCUUCGGGUUGUAAGCCUCUUUCAGCGCCGACGAAGCGCAAGUGACGGUAGGAGCAGAAGAAGCACCGGCCAACUACGUGCCAGCAGCCGCCGUAA